rnacentral:rRNA from 1 species
AUUGAACGCUGGCGGCAGGCCUAACACAUGCAAGUCGAGCGGAAGAAGGGAGCUUGCUCGUGGAUUCAGCGGCGGACGGGCGAGUAAUGCCUAGGAAUCUGCCUGGCUGUGGGGGAUAACGUCCGGAAACGGGCGAUAAUACCGCAUAAGUCCUGAGGGAGAAAGUGGGGGAGCUUCGGACCUUACGCCCUCAGAUGAGCCUAGGUCGGAUUAGCUAGUUGGUGGGGUAAAGGCCUACCAAGGCGACGAUCCGUAACUGGUCUGAGAGGAUGAUCAGUCACACUGGAACUGAGACACGGUCCAGACUCCUACGGGAGGCAGCAGUGGGGAAUAUUGGACAAUGGGCGAAAGCCUGAUCCAGCCAUACCGCGUGUGUGAAGAAGGUCUUCGGGUUGUAAAGCCCUUUUGGUUGGGAAGAAAAGCAGUAAGUUAAUACCUUGCUGUUUUGACGUUACCCACAGAAUAAGCACCGGCUAACUUCGUG